rnacentral:lncRNA from 1 species
GGACCACAACAAAUAGAGAUACCAUAUUUAUUCAUUGACUUCCUAAAGUCUUUAACCUUUUCCAGCAACCAUUCUACUAAUAGACAAGCCUUAACCCACUACACUACACCUUUUAAAAACAAGAAUCUGACGAAGCAAAAAAUCAAAAUAUGACAAACCCACAACUCCAACACUAACUCGGAAUAUUGAUCACAAAAAUAAUUGAAUAAAAAAUGCAUUAAAAGCCGAAACAACUUGGAAUAUUGAAAGCCC